CGCGUGCAGUGAGUGGUGACGUGUCUGCGGCGUUUUUCAAACUCGUAGAGACGGUUGGUGGCUGGUAGACCAAACAAAGCUAGGAGAUAUCCAGCUAAAACUGCGGUAAAGCAGCGGCGAAGUCAGAAAAAGUCUGUUUUCUGUGUGAUGGGGAAAGAUUGAACUUUGAACUUUGUGUACCUGUGGAUUACGAGCCAAGCCCAGACGAUUGAACCAGAGUACAAAACCACUAGCCUCACACAGUGCUUCAGUAACAGCUUCUUCUCCUCCCUGAUGUCAAAUGCGCAGUGUUUCCAGACUAAGACACAGCACCAAAUGUAUUAUUUAUGGAAAUAGAGACCUGAAGGGCAAUUUUACCAGAUUUUACCAAACAUUGCAAAGAAAACAAUUGGCUUCUGGAAUAAUCCUUUCUGGUUGCUGAAGUGCAUAAAGGUUUGUAAAUAUUAAGUUUCACUCUGUUUAAGCCAACAUUAUAAAAGAGCAGACACACACACUGUUUGGGGCACUUUUUUUUUUUUUUUUCUUUCUUUUUUUUUUUAAACUAGGGCGAUUGUGCAUUUUCCUCCCAUUUCUUUCCACAAGGAACACCAAAGAGAACUCCAAAGAGACCUCCAAAGCACCAAAUCUCAAGGCCAACUGCAGCUUGGGUGCCCCGAACUAGACAGGUUGACUCACAACUUCGCUUGCCGUCUCUCCGUUAGCCUGAGUGAUCCACUCUGCGGAGCUGUGCUGGGGGGUUCUGCGACCUGACCUGUCUCUGGGGUUUGGUGGAGGAGGAGUCAGGG